rnacentral:rRNA from 1 species
UGUCAACGGUAACAGCGUCUUCGCGACGCUGACGAGUGGCGAACGGGUGAGUAAUACAUCGGAACGUGCCCAGUCGUGGGGGAUAACUACUCGAAAGAGUAGCUAAUACCGCAUACGAUCUGAGGAUGAAAGCGGGGGACCUUCGGGCCUCGCGCGAUUGGAGCGGCCGAUGGCAGAUUAGGUAGUUGGUGGGAUAAAAGCUUACCAAGCCGACGAUCUGUAGCUGGUCUGAGAGGACGACCAGCCACACUGGGACUGAGACACGGCCCAGACUCCUACGGGAGGCAGCAGUGGGGAAUUUUGGACAAUGGGCGAAAGCCUGAUCCAGCAAUGCCGCGUGCAGGAUGAAGGCCUUCGGGUUGUAAACUGCUUUUGUACGGAACGAAAAAGCUUCUCCUAAUACGAGAGGCCCAUGACGGUACCGUAAGAAUAAGCACCGGCUAACUACGUGCCAGCAGCCGGGG